rnacentral:rRNA from 1 species
AUGGACAUGGACUCCUUUAUCGUUCUCCUCUUCCUCUUUCUUGCGCGAGCGGAGGCGGCGAGCCACGGCGUUGGUAGAGAAGGCAAGGCUGGGGGAGCGGUGCUCCUUCCGCUCAGGCUGCAGGAGGUGGCGCCCCCGCCGCGAGCGCCGGCGAACCGGCUGCGGUUCCGCCACAAUGUGAGCCUCACGGUGUCGGUGGCUGUCGGCACGCCGCCGCAGAACGUCACGAUGGUGCUCGACACCGGCAGCGAGCUCUCCUGGCUGCUCUGCAACGGGAGCUCCGUGUCGCCGCCCGCGCCGUUCAACGCGUCCGCUUCUUUCACAUACGGCGCCGUCGAUUGCUCGUCGCCGGCGUGCGUGUGGCGCGGACGUGACCUGCCCGUCCGCCCGUUCUGUGACGCGCCGCCGUCCACCGCCUGCCGCGUCUCCAUCUCCUACGCAGACGCCUCCUCGGCCGACGGCCUCCUCGUUGCCGACACCUUCGUCCUCGGCGCGCAGGCCGUGCCCGCCCUGUUCGGCUGCAUCACCUCCUAUUCCUCCAGCACGGCCGCCAACAACAACGCCACUGACCCGUCGGAGGCGGCGACCGGCCUACUCGGCAUGAACCGUGGCAGCCUCUCCUUCGUGACGCAGACGGCGACCCUCCGCUUCGCCUACUGUAUCGCCCCCGGCCAAGGACCCGGCAUCCUCCUCCUCGGCGGCGACGGCGGCGCGGCCCCGCCGCUGAACUACACGCCGCUGAUAGAGAUUUCCCAGCCGCUGCCGUACUUCGACCGGGUGGCCUACUCCGUGCAGCUGGAGGGCAUCCGCGUGGGGCGCGCCCUGCUCGCCAUCCCCAAGUCCGUGCUCACGCCGGACCACACGGGCGCCGGGCAGACCAUGGUGGACUCCGGCACGCAGUUCACCUUCCUCCUGGCCGACGCCUACGCGGCGCUCAAGGGCGAGUUCCUGAACCAGACGCGGUCGCUGCUCGCCCCGCUCGGCGAGCCGGGCUUCGUGUUCCAGAGCGCGUUCGACGCGUGCUUCCGCGGCCCGGAGGAGCGAGUGUCGGCGGCAAGCCGGCUUCUCCCCGAGGUGGGCCUGGUGCUCCGCGGCGCGGAGGUGGCCGUGGCCGGGGAGAAGCUCCUGUACAGUGUACCCGGCGAGCGGCGCGGGGAGGAGGGGGAGGAGGCUGUGUGGUGCCUGACGUUCGGGAACUCGGACAUGGCCGGCAUGUCGGCGUACGUGAUCGGGCAUCACCACCAGCAGGACGUGUGGGUGGAGUACGACCUUCAGAACGGCCGAGUCGGCUUCGCGCCGGCGCGCUGUGAGCUCGCCACCCAGCGCCUCGGCGCCCAAGUGUAG